CUCCUACCUCAGCCUCCUGAGUAGCUGGUAUUACAGGCGUGCACCAUCACGCCCGGCUAAUUUUUGUGUUUUCAGUAGAGAUGGGGUUUCACCAUGUUGGUCAGGCUGGUCUCGAACUCCUGACCUUGUGAUCUGCCUGCCUUGGCCUCCCAAAGUGUUGGGAUUACAGGUGUAAGCCACUGAGCCUGGCCAUUAAGUCCCCAUUUCUUUGGGGUCAACUAUUAGAGCUUUAUUUUGUUGCUUUAAAGGUGUCAUAUUUCCUUGAUUCUUUGUAUAUAUAUAUUUUUGAAGACUUGCGCUGCUAUCUUCACAUUUGAAGAAGCGGUCACCUCCUUUAGUCUUACUUGUUUCUUAUUAAAAUUUUUUUAAUGUUUUUUUUUAAGAGAUGGGAUCUCACUAUGUUGCCCAGGGUGGUCUCAAACUCCUGGCCUCAAGUGAUCCUCCCACCUCAGCCUCCCAAAGUGCUGAGAUUACAGGUGUAAGCUACCAUGCCUGGCUGUCCCCCAGUCUUUGUUGACUGGCUUUGGGAGAGAAAGACCUUCAUCAGUCAUCCUAGCUAAGGAUUUGAGGGAUCGCUCAGAUCUUUUCUGUAGAUACACCCACUCUACUCCUGUUGCUCCCUCUUAGGGAGAGAAGUCUUAGGUUGUAAGCUCCUCUCAAUCCUCCAAAGCUGGGUCUACACUGAGCACCUCCCAUUUUCCCUAAUGCAGUGCUCUGAAGCAUUCAAGGUUGGGCACCUUCUCCCAGUCCAGCAGAGUCAAGCCGGCUGCUCAGAUUUGCAUCUGCCGUUGAGAUCUGUGUACUGUUUGGGAGGAGGGUGCAUGAGACACCAUAUGCUCAGGGGUACGUGGAGUGCUGGGGGCAUGGAUCAGUUGGUUGGGGGGCCCACAGGCAAGUUGUUCUGUGGGUUCAUGGGCGGGCCUCCUGGUGGAGUGUUAGCUGGUUAGUGGGAUCCAUGGCUGGCUGUUGGUUGCUAGGCAUGUCCUUCCCUUCUCCUAGCAGUCCCCAGGUGACUCAGCCAUGCUGAUUCCUCAGUGUUCUGGGGAGAGACACAGGUGGGCUAUUGGGCAGCAUCCUAUAAGGUUGGGGAAGCUGGUGCUCACUCAGCACUCAGUUUCCCCUGUGGGAGAAACCACAGGCCCAGGGGGGCCUCAUUGGAGGAGCACUAGCACAGGUAAACUGAACCUUCUUAGCCUCUUCGGUGUGCUCUCUUUGCCCUGUGGGGUGCUAGAACCUCUCAGUGUUUCUGUGGGGGCAUGAGGGCUGGAACCUCCUAUUCUGUCACCUUCCUGGCCUCUUCCUACAAUUAUUUUUAUGCUCAAAUUGCCCCCGAUUUGGACAGGGGGAGAGCCUUCAGGCUGCUCCUCCAGCCCUCUCACAUGUCCCCAACGUUGUUCAGCAUUUCCUUAUUUUCCAGCACUAGACAUUCUAAGGCUCACCCUGUACUCUCUCUGCUCUUCCCUGGAAAUAGUCAUUUCUCCAAAGAGUUCUGUUCCCUUGGAAUAGAGAAUGGUAUUUACAAACCAAGAAAUGGAUUUCAGGUGUGCCAGUUGUUUCUGGGGUGGCAUUGCUUCUAGGCCCCUUCGGUGGACAGAGCUGGGAAAGAAACUGUGUGUAUCAUAUAUAUCUGCACACGUAAGCUGUGUGUGUAUCAUAUAUAAUACAUCUGCACAUAUAAACUGUGUAUGUAUCAUAUAUAAUACAUCUGCACUUAUAAACUGUGUAUGUAUCAUAUAUUAAUACAUCUGCACAUAUAAACUAUCAUAUCUGUACAUAUAAACUGUGUAUAUCAUAUAUAUGCACAUAUAAACUAUCAUAUAUAAUACAUCUGCACAUACAAACUGUAUGUAUCAUAUAUAAUACAUCUGCACUUAUAAACUGUAUCAUACAUAAUACAUCUGCACAUAUAAACUGUAUCAUAUCUACACAUAAACUGUAUAUAUCAUAUAAUAUAUGCGCAUAUAAACUAUCAUAUAUCUGCACAUAUAAACUAUGUAUCAUAUAUAUCUGCACAUAUAAACUGUGUGUAUCAUAUAUAGUACAUCUGUACAUAUAAACUGUAUCAUAUACAUCUGCACAUAUAAACUAUCAUAUAUAAUACAUCUGCACUUAUAAACUGUGUACCAUAUAUAUCUGCACAUAUAAACUGUAUCAUAUAUAUCUGCACAUAUAAACUAUCAUAUAUAAUACAUCUGCACAUAUAAACUGUAUCAUAUAUAAUCUGCACUUAUAAACUGUAUCAUAUAUAUCUGCACAUAUAAACUGUAUCAUAUAUAUCUGCACAUAUAAACUGUCAUAUAUAAUACAUCUGCACAUAUAAACUGUGUGUAUCAUAUAUACAUCUGCACAUAUAAACUGUGUGUAUCAUAUAUAAUACAUCUGCACUUAUAAACUGUAUCAUAUAUAUCUGCACAUAUAAACUGUAUCAUAUAUAAUAUAUCUGCACAUAUAAACUAUCAUAUAUAAUACAUCUGCACAUAUAAACUGUAUCAUAUAUAACUGCACAUAUAAACUGUCAUAUAUAUCUGCACAUAUAAACUGUCAUAUAUAUGCACAUAUAAACUAUCAUAUAUAAUACAUCUGCACAUAUAAACUGUGUAUCAUAUAUAAUACAUCUGCACAUAUAAACUAUCAUAUAUAAUACAUCUGCACAUAUAAACUGUAUCAUAUAUAAUACAUCUGCACAUAUAAACUGUGUAUCAUAUAUAAUACAUCUGCACUUAUAAACUGUGUCAUAUAUCUGCACAUAUAAACUAUCAUAUAAUACAUCUGCAUAUAUAAACUAUCAUAUAUACAUCUGCACAUAUAAACUAUAUCAUAUAUCUGCACAUAUAAACUGUGUGUAUCAUAUAUAAUACAUCUGCACAUAUAAACUGUGUGUAUCAUAUAUAUCCGCACAUAUAAACUGUGUGUGUAUCAUAUAUAUCUGCACAUAUAAACUGUGUGUGUAUCAUAUAUAAUACAUCUGCACACAUGCUUCUCUGUAUUGAAAACCAAAUUGUCACGGACCACUCCCAUUCUCACGCAGCAUUUAGGGCUGUGGCUAGCCUUUCCCAGCUGUAAGAAACCUGUCUUUCAGCAUGAUAAACACAUUUACUUAUUUGCUCAGUCCUCUAAUAUGCAGAAAGUAGUUUUAGAAUUGCCAAAACCAUACAACUUGGAAAAACAAGCAUGAUUACUUCAAGAUGUGUUUGUAGCUCCUUCUGUCCUGGCAUUGGACGUGGAGAGAAAGCACAGACUGUUCCAAGUUUCAUUUUUCCCCUUCUCUGAAACGCAGAGAGCGUUGUUUGUUUCUGUUUGUAUUUCAUUUGGGUCCUCCCUCUAGCCUUAUUCAUAAAUUUGUAAAUGAUCUUUAACAAUCUGUUAUAUUUAUGAUGUUUUACUGCGUGCUGCCUGUGAAAAUGUUUCCUUCUUCUGACACGUUCCAGAACAACUAGGCUUUUAAAUUCCAAAUAUUCCUGUUUCACAAUAAACCAGAUGAGGGCCUCUGUUGUGCCACAGCUUUUGGAAUGUGGUUUAUUACCAAUAGAAGUGGCUGCGUGGCUUGUUAUGGUUUCAAUUACACGUGAGUAACAACCGGGGCCCUUCUGUGUCAGGUGCUGCUGAUCAAGGCUGGCUAAUGGGGACCUCGCUGUCCAGAACGGGCGUUUCCCAUGGCCCGGCCCAGCUGUUUACCACUUCUGUCUACCAUUUCAGAGGGGCUUUGCGGAGAUUAAAUGAGGUGAAGCGCUCUGAGAACCUCAGUCCUAAAGAAUAGCAGUUAUACUGGUUUUUGUAUUAUAUUUAUAUAUUCUUCUUGUUAAUAUACUGGUUUUAAUGUUCAUCGUUCUCUUGGGAUCCCAUGACAGUGAGCCUGGUGUACCUGAGGUCUGGGAUACUCACACCUCUCCCCAGUCCCAUGCUCCCCACUGUGGCAGUGCCUGUCAGGGACCCUGCUGACCCCAGGAAGCCUCGGUGUCCCCAGCGCUGGCUCUGCUCACACAGGCAGCAGGCUUAGUGUUCUCUGGCCUGGCUGCACUGACUGGACCAGGGACAGGGGAAGGGCCCCAAAGCACCCUGUUCCAGGCAGCCGGCCAGUCGUGGCCGAGGAGCUCCAUUCAACAGUGGCACCCAGAGGGGCCAGGGUCUCAUAAAGCUGGUCAGACGCCCCCUCUGGGUAGGGGUGUAGGAAGCGGCUGUGCAGCCGGGUCCCAGGUAGGGAGGCAUAGAGUGAAGGCUGUGAGCAGGAGCCCUGGGGCGGAGGGCCAGGAGAAGGCUGGGCACAGGUCCAUCGGUGGCAGCUGGGUGGGCAGAGCAGAGAGGCUGCAUCUGCACGACGGCAGGGCCCUGGUGUGGGAACAGCAGACGGGGCCCCUGGGUGCGGCGCCUCCUUCCCACAUCCCUGCUGCUCCUGCAUCUGCUGCUGGAGAAGACCACGACGUGCUCAGACCCCGGCACUGGAGAACUCCAGAUGUGGUGAGGGCUGCACGUUAGCUGCAUACGCACAUCUGGAAGGUGAGGCAGACGUGCCCACCGCCUCCAUGCCUGGCCCACAGUUGUGGGCAUGCAGAGCUCCUCUGUGGCAGGCCCAGGCUGCACCAGCUGCCUGGAGAGGCACUGGGGGCGGGGCCUCACUUGAGGGGCAGAUUCUCCCACCCAGCCAGUCCAGGCCCAGCGGCUGGAGCAUCCCGUCCAGCAAAUUGUCCUGCAAGUUGCCCUGGAGACCCAGCGUCUCUCAUCACGUCUCACUCCCCUGCCAGAUGCCUCUGCGGCAAUAACGAGAGUGGCUCUGCCUUCUGCACUGAAUGCCGACAGGUGACCAGAACAUGACACUGGGGUUAUGCAGUGCCCUGGUUGAUAUUCUAGUUCAUCAGGGAGCUUCUGGAAUGAUUUUUUUUUUCUUUUUUUUUUUUUUUUGAGACAGAGUCUCUCUCUGUCGCCCAGGCUGGAGUGCAAUGGAGCAAUCUUGGCUCACCACAACCUCUGCCUCCGGGGUUCAAGUGAUUCUCCUGUCUGAGCCUCCUGAGUAGCUGGGAUUACAGGUGUCCACCACUAUCACUCAGUUAAUUUUUAUAUUUUUAGUAGAGAUGGGGUUUCACCAUGUUGCCUGGGCUGGUCUCAAACUCCUGACCUCAGGUGAUCUGCCUCCUCAGCCUCCCAAAGUGCUGGGAUUACAGGCAUGAGCCACCUCACCCAGCCAACUUUCUUUUGCUUCACUUUUCCUCUGGUUGCCCCAUCUUUAUUGUCAAGUCCUGUUAAGAGGAACAACAUUAAAAUGAGAGCUUUCAUGGCAAAAAGGUUGCUGUGGGUUGAGCUUGCAAUGUUAGCUGCGUGUUAGGAUUCAGCUGACAUCUGUCUCUGGAGUCUCGCCCUUUCUGUAAUUCGCUUUUGACUGUAAUAAAUGUUGUACAGGCCAGGUGCAGUGACUCACACCUGUAAUCCCAGCACUUUGCAAGGCCAAGGCAGGUGGACCACGAGGUCAGGAGAUCGAGAUCAUCCUGGCUAACACGGUGAAACCCCGUCUCCACUGAAAAUACAGAAAAUUAGCUGGGUGUGGUGGCACCUGCCUGUGGUCCCAGCUAUU
rnacentral:lncRNA from 1 species